rnacentral:lncRNA from 1 species
AUGGAAAGCAUGUGAUGUUGAAGUCUCCAACUAUCAGCUAAGACUCUUUCCAUAGUGAUAUGAUCUAAGCAAGUUCUUUUAGAAACUCUUAUUUUUUCUGUGCUUCUUGAGGGCCAUAACCAUUUGUCAUAACCCAUUCCUUCUUGUUUGUGGGAACUUUGUAUUUGUGUAAUGUGCUGAGGGAAACCUCUCCUUUGUGUAAACAUGUG